UACUCAAGAAAAGGAUUUAAGUCCAGCCUAAAGUCUUCUUAGUUUAUCGAAACAUGACCUUGACUUUAGAGUAAUUCAAAUAAGGUACAGCCUAUUUGAAAAAGGAUACAACCUAAGUUAACGGGUAAUACUCCAAUUUUAUAAUUAAGUGGGCCUAAAAGCAGCCACCUUUAAAACAGCGUCAAAGCUUCAUUAUACCAUACAUCUAAUACCAUAAAAAUUUGAUACCCCUUUUAUUCUAUUGAGUAAUUCUAUAUUGUUAUAGAAAAUAUAAUGUUAAAACUAGUAACAAGAAGAAGACCUUCUCUUUAAUGCAAGUGUAAAUCAGAAAGGACCUACCACUGAUAAUUAACCCCCAUGAAACUACAUUAGUAACCUCACAAGAAAAUCCUAAUAAAUUCUGAGUUAAUCUAACACAAGAGCAUUACAAGAAAGAUUUAAAGAAAAAGAAGGAACUCGGCAAACAUUAACCUCGCCUGUUUACCAAAAACAUCGCCUCUUGAAUAACUAUAAGAGGUCCAGCCUGCCCAGUGACUUUGUUCAACGGCCGCGGUAUCCUAACCGUGCGAAGGUAGCGUAAUCACUUGUCUUUUAAAUGGGGACUUGCAUGAAUGGCAUCACGAGGGUUAUACUGUCUCCUUUUUCUAAUCAGUGAAACUAAUCUUCCCGUGAAGAAGCGGGAAUAAAGAUAUAAGACGAGAAGACCCUAUGGAGCUUUAAACUUAAUAACAAAUACUAACCUUACAUCAACUUUAAGAAUAUUAACCUUAAUCUUAGUAUUAUGAUUAUUAGUUUUAGGUUGGGGUGACCGCGGAGUAAAAAUUAACCUCCACAUUGAACGGGACCUGUCCCUGAGCCAAGAACUACAGCUCAAAGCACCAACAAAUUGACAUUAAUUGACCCAAUAUUUUGAUCAACGAACCAAGUUACCCUAGGGAUAACAGCGCAAUCCACUUCAAGAGCUCCUAUCGACAAGUGGGUUUACGACCUCGAUGUUGGAUCAGGGUAUCCCAGUGGUGCAGCCGCUACUAAAGGUUCGUUUGUUCAACGAUUAAAACCCU
rnacentral:rRNA from 1 species